GUUAAGCGACUAAGCGUACACGGUGGAUGCCCUGGCAGUCAGAGGCGAUGAAGGGCGUGCUAAUCUGCGAUAAGCGCCGGUAAGGUGAUAUGAACCGUUAUAACCGGCGAUACCCGAAUGGGGAAACCCAGUGUGAUUCGUCACACUAUCAUUAACUGAAUCCAUAGGUUAAUGAGGCGAACCGGGGGAACUGAAACAUCUAAGUACCCCGAGGAAAAGAAAUCAACCGAGAUUCCCCCAGUAGCGGCGAGCGAACGGGGAGGAGCCCAGAGCCUGAAUCAGCAUGUGUGUUAGUGGAAGCGUCUGGAAAGGCGCGCGAUACAGGGUGACAGCCCCGUACACAAAAGCGCAUGUGCUGUGAGCUCGAUGAGUAGGGCGGGACACGUGGUAUCCUGUCUGAAUAUGGGGGGACCAUCCUCCAAGGCUAAAUACUCCUGACUGACCGAUAGUGAACCAGUACCGUGAGGGAAAGGCGAAAAGAACCCCGGCGAGGGGAGUGAAAAAGAACCUGAAACCGUGUACGUACAAGCAGUGGGAGCACCCUUUUGGGUGUGACUGCGUACCUUUUGUAUAAUGGGUCAGCGACUUAUAUUCUGUAGCAAGGUUAACCGUAUAGGGGAGCCGUAGGGAAACCGAGUCUUAAC
rnacentral:rRNA from 1 species